UUGGAGGCCCCAGGAGUUGUAGGAGGUGAUGGGGAGGUGGGUUUCCUGGGUCACAUUUUGCGAAUGGACAGGUGGAUGGGAAUGACAGGAGUGCUUACUGAAUUGGUGAUGCAGGUGGGGCCACUGAGGACCGACUCUGGGGGCCACCGCGAUCACCAGGAGAUGUGGGGGGGUAUUGUGUCAAAUCUUUGGUAGCUGCAUGUCAGUGACACUGAGAAUGUUUACACCACGGGAAUCCACAGUUCUACAAAUCAGGAUUUUUUUUCCUUCUGGAGGGCCAGUUUAGGGGAACUUCAUGCCUCUGAAGUCGAGACCAGGAGCUGAGAGGUCACUUCAGGCCCUGGACAUACAAUUUGGUUCCCUCAAGUUUCGUCAGCUGGAAAUGCAGAACAAUGAGCUAUGAUAAGAGCCCCCCCCCACUCCCCUGCCAAGCAGAGCUGUGUCAUCAGAGAGCAGCCUGAGGGGAGGGACAGAUGCCAGGGGCACAGUCGCUGGGGGCAGAUGCCCAUCGCCCUGGGAGGUAUCCCCGAGGAAAAGCGCAGGCACCCACUGGAGGCUGCAUGGACGGCCCCAUGGGAGGACACAUCUCAGUGUAUCAGUACAUAUGUCCAUACAUCCAGACAUACACCCACAGACAAGUCUCCAUAGGUAUACAGCUGGCCGUCCAUAUUUGUGGCUUCUGCAUCUAAGCAUACAGGGAGCCAACUGUGCUGAUGGCUUCCCAGCAAGGCUGUGCUGAGCCUUCGAUAGUGGCGAACUGCUCUGAGCAUCACGGGGUCCAGCUGCUCCCAGGGAAGAGACAUGCAAAGUCCAGAAGAGGCAGAGGCAGGAGAUAAAACAGCAGGACAUAAGUAGCCCCACAGCAGGACAUAAGAUCACCGACAGGUGUGCAGACCCCCGCGUGCUCCCGGACACGUAAGCGCACGGGGAACGUGGGGCAUUACCCUCGGGAGACUCGGAUUAGAAAUAACCCGAGCACCCAGCUCCAGGGAGGUCAGCUCCUUCCGCGAGUGACUGUUUCCAUGGCUGCACACGACUCAAGCCAUCAGCCCAAACCUGGCUACUUCCUCACACCGACGGCAAGAGAAUAAACUUCCAGGGCAGGGAGUGAAAAUAUACAGAUCAAAGAGGUUUGCGGUGCAUGAACCAAACACGUCCACGUGCCACGUGUGGACCCCUGGAUCCUGGUGCAAACUGACUAGCUGUAAAAAGAUGACUCGGGGGGUCGAUAAAGACACAGCCCUGAGGCAUUUGCACGAAGGUGACAAGGAAUUAGGGGUGACGGCUGAUCCUUGCGUGAGAAGGACGGGCGUGUGGUUGUGCUGAAGCCCUUCCGCUCCCGGAGCCACGCGGACAGGCUUCACGCUGAAGUGUGGUCAUCGCUGGGACUCGCUUCGAGUUCCCGGCAGCCCACGGCCCAGCCCCCGGGCCCCCGCGGCUCCCCUCAGAUGCAGUGUUUCCCAGGACCUUUUUCGAACGGCCCGUCCAGAAUCACAUGCGCCCCGUCUCCCCUCCCGCCCUCGGAGCGCGUCACCCACACGCCGCCCACUUCCUCCUUCGACCGGCGGUCGGCCUCCUCCCUGGGAAGGCAGCUCCAUCGGGGUGGGGAGUUUUUCUCUGUCCCCCCACCCAGUGUCCCCGAGGCACCCUCCGAGCAUAAAACAGAGCCCGGUGGGUGCACAAACUGGUGUCCAGUAAGUGUCUGCUGACCAGGUGCGUCCUCUGUUUAGGGACGGGACUGACACCAGCUGCAAAGUUGCCCUGACAGAGGUCCGUCCACGGGAGAGGACGCGGGGAGAUGGCUGCUCCCCCUGGGCCUGCAUUGCACACCCUGUGGGGCAACGCCGCGGUCAGCCAGUCCCGAAACUGCUCCUGCCAUCGCUGAUUCCCUGCGGGAGCCCAAGGCCGCCGCGGCGCAGCCCACGAUGUCAGCCCGAGCCUCUCGGCCGGCAGAGGCGGGA